rnacentral:misc_RNA from 1 species
GUCCUGAAAGCCUUGUACCCAUGAGGAAGGCAUUUAGAGGUACUUUUAUUGUAGCUGGUGGUUACGAUAGAGAAGAUGGAAACAAAGUUGUGGAUGAAGGCCGAGCUGAUCUUGUUGCAUAUGGACGUUUGUUUAUAGCCAAUCCGGAUUUACCCAAGAGAUUUGAGCUUGAUGCACCUCUCAACAAGUAUAAUAGGGGAACAUUCUACUCUUCUGAUCCUGUUGUUGGCUAUACUGACUAUCCAUUUCUAGAAAAUGUGGUAUGAUAAUGCCAAGGAAGCAUUAAAGAUCACUAGGUCUUCCUCAACAAGGAAAGGAUUCCUUUGUAUCUUGAAGUGUCCUCACCAAUCAAACUAUCACCUUUGAUUUAGUUUCCACCCCAGAACCUGUGUUCUAGGAC